CCUAGGAAAGGCUGCUGGUAACUGGGAUGGGGGUUGGGGGUAGGUAAGAAGUCUCUCACUCCUCCUCUACCUCAUUCCAGUUCCAUCACCUGAAGUGGACCUGUUGGGA
ensembl:miRNA